rnacentral:tRNA from 1 species
GGUUGUAUAGUGUAGUGGUUAUCACUUUCGGUUUUGAUCCGAACAACCCCAGUUCGAAUC